rnacentral:misc_RNA from 1 species
GUGGAAAUGAAUUAGAUUAUCAUUUCACCUUCUUUUCUAUAUAUGUACCUUUUGGAUGAGAAAUAUUUUGUUGCUUUAUACUCCAGACUAGCCAGCUUAACCAGCAUGUAAAGUUAUCAAAUGAUUCUUUUUCUUUUCCUUCCACAACUUGACUAGUAUAUGCAAAAUUAACAAAUGGAAAUAAAUUGUAUUAUCGUUAUACCUAACUUUGUAUGUAUCUGUCUUUAGAAUGAGAAAUAUUUUGAUUAGUGGUUUAUACUUUCUGAGGCUAGUAAUCAUGUACAAUUUAUG